UAGGGAAUCUUCCACAAUGGACGCAAGUCUGAUGGAGCAACGCCGCGUGAGUGAAGAAGGCUUUCGGGUCGUAAAACUCUGUUAUUGAAGAAGAACGUGUGUGACAGUAACUGGUCAUGCAGUGACGGUAUUCAAUCAGAAAGUCACGGCUAACUACGUGCCAGCAGCCGCGGUAAUACGUAGGUGGCAAGCGUUGUCCGGAUUUAUUGGGCGUAAAGCGAGUGCAGGCGGUCUUUUAAGUCUGAUGUGAAAGCCUUCGGCUUAACCGAAGAAGGGCAUCGGAAACUGGGAGACUUGAGUGCAGAAGAGGAGAGUGGAACUCCAUGUGUAGCGGUGAAAUGCGUAGAUAUAUGGAAGAACACCAGUGGCGAAGGCGGCUCUCUGGUCUGUAACUGACGCUGAGGCUCGAAAGCGUGGGUAGCAAAACAGGAUUAGAUACCCUGGUAG
rnacentral:rRNA from 1 species